GAGACAGUCCCCAGGUGAAUCUUGGCUGGUGAAAAAAGGAGGUCUUGGAACUACAUGUUCAGAAAGGGAAAGCAGUGAGCCACAGACAGAUUUCAGCAAUUGGAAAGCAAAAAACCCAAGGAUUUUGCCGGCGGUCCAGUAAUGUUCUGAUCUGCUGCAAAACUUUACAGUCAGCACAGCCGUCUGUGCAGGAUUUGGCCAUACCGUUCAGAGUCUGAGAUACCUGCCUAAUCAUGGUGCUCCCUGAGAGACUUCUACUUCCCUGGAGGAUGUUCCUCACUCUGACAGGUGCCUGGGAUGGAUUAGGAUCACUUGCUGGGCAGCUUUUCAAUAUUCUGUUUUAUCUUCAUCGUUCAGCACGUGGCCCCAUGUCUCGGGUACUGCACUCCAUUCAAGCUGUGCUCUGGAUACAUAAUUAUUAAUUUCAUCAGCAGCUUUUUGGUGGCAGUCACUGCUAUUGUUUUCAAGUGGAUUGUGAAUAGCGCUGAGUUCUGUUUUUCCUCUUUGAGAUGAGGGGACAUUGUUAUCUUCAUUUUUCAGGUGGAACAAAAAGACACAGGAAGAUUAAAGUGCAGAGGUUCCACUAAUUUCAGACACCAAAGAUCUCUGUAAUUACCCUUGUGGAAAGCUGAUAGCGUUAGCAAUAGCCUUCAUGUGGCCUAAUGCUAACAAAGACUCACCAGCGGCUGUCACAUCUAUUUGCUGAUGGGGGAGGCUCUGGAGCCCUGAGCUCCAUCCUAAUGCUGGCAAGUGCACCAUAGAGAGAUGCAAGCUCUCUUGCUUGUCCCUUCUGCAGCACACGGUCCAUGGACUUCUGGCUGCCCUCCUCCCCACCCCUGCCUCCAGUUGCAGUGGGUGGCUUCGUCCCAUGUGCCACUGAGAGUGGGGACUCUGCUUCCAGUCCUGCUAACCAGAUCUCAGGAAAGCUUACAGUGUGGGUAAAUUUGGGUUGAUUUUCAGAGAAUUAGCAAAUGAUCUGUUAACUUUUCCAGAAGAUGGAGCCAGGGUAUACAUUGUUCCUUAAGGUUGUUUUGAGGGGGAACAAAAAAACCAAACAAACAGAACAGUCUGCUUAUUUCCCUAAGUAUUUAGCCUGCAGGAAAAUCUGAUUAGAAGACUUCAGCCCCACAGGUUAAAGUGUAGCCAAAUUAUGAAGCAGAGAAAUCUUGGAUGACUUUACUGGUAGCAGAGUACUUGUAGCAGCCUUGCUGCUAAUAAGAAGGCAUGUACACGCACACAUGCACCCACAGAGACUUCGUGCGCAUAGACAAGCACAAUAAUUAGCAGGACGCUGGUUGCCCUCUCAUUUAUUUCACUUGUUCUUUUCUGUAGAGCUUAAUCUUGCAGACAGUUUGCUUUAAUCCUGAGUGGAUGGAAACGGCAGGAGUCUGUGUAAAAUUGGUGUAUGUUUUCAGCCACUGAGAGCAGAAACCAUCAGAAGGCAAUGCUGAAUAAAUCCAGAGGAACACCAUGGCAUUAAGGGUGCAUCAUGCUGAGCAUGCCUACUGUGGUAGAAGGUGACUCCCAUCCCAGUGAUGGAUGAGAUCCUGAACGAGUAAGCAUGUCAGGAGCACUCCUGCCACAGAUACUGACCUCUGUGAACAUAAAGUGCACUAUGAUCCCUAUUGCUCCAUCACCACCUUCAAGUUUGCAUGGUGUGUGCCACCACCUCACCUGCAUGAGCCCAGGAGGUGCUCCAGGCAUGUAGCAGAAGCUCCCUCAAGCUCAGGAGAAGCCCAUGGAGGAGCAGGCCAUCCCCCCGCAGCCCACGGAUACCACAUGGAGCAGAUCUCCAUGUGCAGCCAUGGAGGAGUCUAUGGUGCAGCAGUGGAUGAGGCCUGGAGGAGCCACAGCACAUGUUUUUUUGACUAGAUGUAUGAUUGCCAGAAGAACAUUGUUAAAAUCCCUGUCAAGAACCAACUGCAAGUAUCUGUUACAGAAAAACGCUCCAUCUCCUGACCUUCUGCACCCACAAAUACAAGAUGUCUCAUCUGCUCUUCGUGUUGGUGGAUAUCGUGUCAGAGCUAGGAGCAUGGUUUUGCAGUUAGCAAGGUUAGAGCAGCUGCAGCACAGGGCUUCUUUUGCCCAGCAUUAUGCUGUGCCAGCAAAAGGUUUUCAGGCUGCACAGAAAUG
ensembl:lncRNA